rnacentral:piRNA from 1 species
UUCUGGAAACNGCUCUGCCGCGAGAAAGAC